GACGAACGCUGGCGGCGUGCUUAACACAUGCAAGUCGAACGGAAAGGCCCUGCUUUUGUGGGGUGCUCGAGUGGCGAACGGGUGAGUAACACGUGAGUAACCUGCCCUUGACUUUGGGAUAACUUCAGGAAACUGGGGCUAAUACCGGAUAGGAGCUCCUGCUGCAUGGUGGGGGUUGGAAAGUUUCGGCGGUUGGGGAUGGACUCGCGGCUUAUCAGCUUGUUGGUGGGGUAGUGGCUUACCAAGGCUUUGACGGGUAGCCGGCCUGAGAGGGUGACCGGGCAAAAUGGGGUAUGAGAACCGGCCAGGACCCCGAGGGGGGGAAGAAGGGGGAAAUGGGGAAAGAGGGGGGGAGGCGGGAUGAAGCAACCCCGGGGGGGGAGGGGGGGCUUUGGGGUUGAAAACCUUUUGCGCCGGGGAAAAAGGGGGAGGGAGGGAAAUGGAAAAAGAAACACCGCCAAACUAGGCC
rnacentral:rRNA from 1 species